UAGACUUCUGGUAGCGUACUGGUAUUCAAAUGGCGAGAAACACCAAACAGUUAUUAGAGAACGGCUGUUUGCCAAUCAUUUCAUGAAAACAGAACCUGUUAAAAUACUUACUGCAACAACUGACACCAAAAAGUGGCCAAUAUUUAAUUCAGGAUUAGCUGCAAGUUUGAAAUCUUCCUCUCAUCAAACAAGCGUGAUCGGUGGCCUACAAGAGAAAUGACGAAUUAACGAGUCAAAAGCAACGCCCACUACUAAUACUGCUACAAAUGCAAAAAAUCAAGCCGUUAUCCAUGGUUACACAUUGUUCAACAUCGAGAAAAUAAUGUAUAACAACGAACGUGAGUCUUUAUUAACCUGCCUAUAGAAAUUAAUCACCAUGGCAUACAUUGUACCUGCAAAAGCGAUAUGUCUGCAAUAGGAAAUCACAGACAGGCCUUCUCUGAAGUAGGCUCGUGUUUUUUAUUUACGACUAGAUGACGAAGAAGCAGACAUAACUGUGACAAACAAACUUUCGAAAAUGUACCCCUAAAUAUACUAGCCCCAAGCUUGUGGCAAAUGCAUUGCCCAGUUUUUCGAGGUGUACAUUCAAUAUCACAAUCUUGAAAAGUUACCUUGUCCAGUAAUCUCUGUCACUUUUCUGACAAAUAUUUUGCGAUACACUCGCUGAAAUAAUUUAUUUUGACGGAUACUACUUUAGUAUAAAUAUUUCAAGGGAAUGACAAAUUUCCUAAACUUCGAAUCGAGGCAUCUAAUAGGGACUUGCUAGUGCUAAAACUACCAUGAAAUGACAUUUG